CGCCACUCAGCGCAGUACGGUGCGCCAGCAUCCCGCUGGCUCCGAGGGCGUCCUGGCCCGCCCCCGGACCCCAGUCUAGGCUGGAACCCCGCGCGGGGUCAAGGGAGCCUCUGGGUGUGAGUGCUGGAGGGUGGGUGUGAGCGAGUGUGGGCGUGGGCCUGGGAGCGUCCUCAAGACCCGGCAGUUCUCGCUGCUCUGCCCUCCCUGCUCCCUCUCCCUUCCCCCUUCUCCCUUUCGCCAACACUCCUUAGGCUGGGACUGGGCAACGUAGAACGAGAUUCCCAUUCCCGCCCCCCCUCUUUUUUAAAGAAAAACUUAGUAGUCUCUGUUCAGUUUUUUUGGAUUUGAUUCUUUUUAGCUCUUGGGUAAGGGCUGCGUACCCGGCUCCGUUUUGCUAAUUAGACUUCAAACCCCCUCCUGCCUCACUGCUCACUAGGCGGAGACACCUACUGAGGGGACAAGUAUCCUUUCCCCCCAAAGCCAAACCACCCGACCUGUCUUUGCUUUCCCCGCUCGAUGUGGGCGUGUUAUAUAUAUAUUGCACCCUCCCCCCGCACCCCGCGCGGCCACAACAGCAUCAGCUGGGGUUCCCGAAGGUCAGAAAAUAGUUAUUGAUUAAUCUAUUAGAAUAGUUGCCGAGAGAAAUAAAAACGACGUAAAAUAACAGUGAACCUAUAAAUAAAGAGGCUGUAACUAGCUGCUGGGAGUUGUUAAACGACUUAACAUGUGAAAAAGUCGGAAAUGAGGCGCUGGGGAAGGAGCCGGGACUCAGCGGCCUGGGCUUAGGUAAAUCCUCCAAGAUUUAACUUCCGCGCAAACCAGUAGCAGAGCGGGUGGAGGAGGCGAGGAUGCGGCUAGUACACACCGAGUUUCCUUGGCGAGGAAAACCAUUGGUGUUUUAGGCCGACUGAAAGCUAGCUGCAAGCGCCUGCCGUGUGUGGCCGGGCUCCUUGAACCCAAGCCCUGCCUGUCCGCUGAGUCCUGGGAGGAGAAGGCUGAGAGGUCCGAACCGUUUGCAAUGCCAUCUAGACGGCCCUCGGACGCGAGCGGCGCGAGGUGGCAGCCCACCACUGCACCCGGCUGCAGAGGUCGAGGCUGCAACUCUCCGAGCAACCCAACAAUUACAAAAGGAAGGUCGGAAGGAUAAAAAAAGAACCCGAAAUUUAAAAUUCAGAAAUUACUUUUGAGCAGUUUCUGUGGUCCAGCUGCAGUGAGAGGCGCGGGCCGCAAGCCCUAUCGCAGCCCAAGAGGCUGGACCCGCGUGGCCGCGUGCCGUGUAUGUGUGUGUGCGUGCGUGUGUGUGCGCACGUGUGCGUGCGCGGGAGUGUAGCGGCUUCGGGGGCUGCCCUCAGUAGUCCUCUGAAAGUAGCCUCCAAAUGAGCCUAAUUUCGAUUCUGCUGCCCUCCGGAGCUGGGUCUCAGGACUCCCUCGGUGCUGCCGGUCGCUGCCUCGCUCUCCCUCGGCCGAGACCUGGCCUGGUCCGUCCAUUCCCCGAUGUCUCAUUGGAACCUCCCUGGGGGAAGGGGUGGGGGAUGAACAACUCCCAGCCGCCAGUUCCAUUUGUUGCUCUUUUUUCAUUCGACACA